GUGCUUGCCUCGGUAGCACAUAUACUAAAAUUGGAAUGAUACAGAGAAGAUUAGCAUGGUCCCAGCACAAGGAGGUUCAUUCUUUCCAUGAGCUUUUUGAAGAACUG